GAUGAACGCUGGCGGCGUGCCUAAUACAUGCAAGUCGAGCGAACGGACGCGAAGCUUGCUUCUCUGAUGUUAGCGGCGGACGGGUGAGUAACACGUGGAUAACCUACCUAUAAGACUGGGAUCACUUCGGGACACCGGAGCUAACCCCGGAUAAUAUUUUGAACCGCAUGGUUCAAAAGUGAAAGACGGUCUUGCUGUCACUUAUAGCUGGAUCCGCGCUGCAUUAGCUAGUUGGUAAGGUAACGGCUUACCAAGGCAACGAUGCAUAGCCGACCUGAGAGGGUGAUCGGCCACACUGGAACUGAGACACGGUCCAGACUCCUACGGGAGGGAGCAGUAGGGAAUCGUCCGCAAUGGGCGAAAGCCUGACGGAGCAACGCCGCGUGAGUGAUGAAGGUCUUCGGAUCGUAAAACUCUGUUAUUAGGGAAGAACAGAUGUGUAAGUAACUGUGCACAGCUUGACGGUACCUAAUCAGAAAGCCACGGCUAACUACGUG
rnacentral:rRNA from 1 species